GCCUGGGUGGCUCAGUCAGUUAAGUGUCUGACUGCAGCUCAGAUCAUGAUCUUGUGGUUUGUGGGUUCAAGCCCUACAUCAGGCU
rnacentral:tRNA from 1 species